rnacentral:miRNA from 10 species
GUUUGCCAGCCUGAUACAGGUUGCUGCAAACGUAAUUGCGGUUUUUGCCAUUAAUUUCAAUGGCAAAAAUCGCAAUUAUGUUUGCACCAACCUAAGAGAUUU